rnacentral:rRNA from 1 species
AAGAUUAAACUGAAGAGUUUGAUCAUGGCUCAGAUUGAACGCUGGCGGCAGGCCUAACACAUGCAA